CAGCGCCACAAGUGGGGAUCGCUUUUAUUGGGCCUAAAGCGUCCGUAGCCGGUCUAUCGAAUCUCUUGUGAAAUCGUUCGGCUCAACCGAACGGCGUGCAGGAGACACUCCUAGACUAGGGACCGGGAGGGGUCAGAGGUAUUCUGGGGGGAGCGGUAAAAUGCUAUAAUCCCCGGAGGACCACCGGUGGCGAAGGCGUCUGACCAGAACGGAUCCGACGGUGAGGGACGAAAGCCAGGGGAGCAAUCCGGAUUAGAGACCCGUGUAGUCC
rnacentral:rRNA from 1 species